rnacentral:lncRNA from 1 species
GUGCAACCCUGAAAAGCAAAAAAAUUUUUUUUUUGUUUUUUACGGGUAGAUCCUGAGGAAUACCACUCCAGGUUUGUCUUUCGCCCCUUCAUUUAAGGGUCCUUCACGUAUGGCUCAGAGCCACUUUUAAUGGCCUUGUCCUAUCCCUGCUCUCCUCUCCGCCUUAGCCUCUUUUCUCCCAGGCCCUGACUGGUGCCAUUUAUCUGGUGCCAUUCUCACUUCUUGGUGCCAUUUAUCUGAGUCUCUCUAGAGCCUGUUAUCUGAAACAAGGCAAUCUCUUUCUGCUAAGCUUUUACAGCUGAGGAUGGCGGUAGUGGUACAAUGAGGUUGAUGUGGGAUGUGGGUCCAGGGGAAGCCCCAGCUAGGAGGGCUUCAGAGGGAUGGCCUUUGUGCCCACUGCUGCCUGAGUCGUGAUGGGAGCUGGAAGGAGAUGGCUGAUUCGGCCUCUCCAACAUCUGGGUGUCCCAGCUCUUUGUUUUUGUGAAUUUGAUGGGCCUUUAGAAAAACCAUGAAUUACAACAGGGUGAAGGGCAGUUGAGAUUGGAAGCACUUGCUGACGUUAGAACACUUGCGUGUUAAUGAAGUACUCUGGGUUUAUAAUCCUUUUGACAAAUUCAGGCAGGCCCAGUAGCCAAGCCAACAGCUAAAAAGCCACAGAUCCCGCCUUAGCCGGGAUCUUCCCUAUAAGGUGCUGGGCCCUGGUGGCGUGGAGUGUGUGCCCUGGAGCAUUGUGUGUGGACGUGGCUGGAGAGCAAGGGGACUCAGCACCCAUGACGUGUGAGGUACAGUCCUAGCUUUACCAGUGACAUACCUGGUGCCAGGUUAAACCUCUUAAACCAUCUGGUUAGGCCUCAGUUUUCCCAUCUAUUAGACGGGGAGAUGAUAAUAAUGGUCCAUAUGCAUAGGUUGGAUUGAAUGGAUUAAUAUGGGUAAAGUGCUUGCAGUGGUACCUGGCACACAACAGGCUCUGUGUGUGUGUUUCCUGUAAUCAGGGCUGUUAGAUUUGAUACCCAGUAUAAGCUCUAGGAUCUUUAAACUGGGACCCCAAAGAAGGGUAAGAACUGAGGCUGGCAUGGAGAGGCUUGGACCAGGGCCCUUCCCUUCAGCUCGGAAUAAUCUCUGCCUGUGUGGGGAUGGGUGAAGGAGGCAGUAAGACUCCCUCACCCAACAGAAAUGCCCUAUUUCAUGAGUUUGGUCCUCAAAAAUCUACCUUUCCAAGGCAAGAAUUUCUUGCAUCAUGGAGUGUAUGGAGGAAGCCCUGCUCUGGGGGGAGCAGGGCUAGGGGCCACCUUUAAUGUCAGGCUAAUCUAGUUCUUGGAGAAAACAGCCUGAUUAUUUGAAAAGCUUGACACCUGCUUAGCAAGAAGACCAAAAGGGAGCCAAGGAACCAGCUUCCUUUGCUGGAAAACCCAUGUGGGCCACCCUAAACUGAUCUUUUGGAUAAAUAGGGAGGUUUUAAAAUAAUACUGAAAUUUACACUUUUAAAUCCAUCUAGUUAAAUCUACAAACCAUUGCGAUUUGUUACUUACCACACCAUCUGUCUUUCUCUCUUUCUUUCUUUUUAGGGCCUCACUCGUGACAUAUGGAAGUUUCCAGGCUAAGGGUCAAAUCAGAGCUGCAGCCAAUGGCCUACAGCACAGCCAUAACAACACUAGAUCCUUAACCCACUGAACAAGGCCAGGUAUCAAACCGCAUCCUCAUGGAUACUAGUCAGGUUUGUUAACCACUGAGCCAUGAUGGGAACUCUCAUCAUUUCUAAAAAUACAUUCAAACAAGUGUUUUUUUUUUUUUUUUUUUUUUUCCUUUUCCACCACAGAAUUUCAUACAGAUUUAGUACAUUUCGAUCUUUUAAAAUUUGCUGUGUAUGAAAUCAAACUGUGCCACAAAAACAUAAUUUGACAAAUAGAAGUUUUAACACAUUUUCUGUGAUCAUGACGCUCUAAGUAUUAAGAAAUUUCAGGAUUUGGAGUUCCUGUUGUGGCUCAGUAGGUUACAAACCUGACUAGUAUCCAUGAAGAUGUGGGUUCAAUCCCUGGCCUUGCUCAGUGGGCUAAGAAUCUGGUGUUGCCAUCAGCUGUGGUGUAGGUCACGUAUGUAGCUCAGAUCUCGAGUUGCUGUGGCUGUGGCAUAGCUGGCAGCUGCUGCCCUAAAAAGUAAAAAAAAAAAAAAAGAAAUUUCAAGCUUAAGCUAACAUUACAAUUAGUAUGUAAAGAGCAUAAACAUUUUGAUAAUUAUUUAUAAUUAACAACAUUUAUAAAUUUACUAGUUAUUUUGUUGGUAAGAUUUCCUUUUAUUUGAUAGCAGUUUUCCACCCCCUUCUCUAAUUGAAUUGUGUGUGUCUGGAUGAGCACUACUUAUUGCUAGAAUGAGGUGGGUUUCAGUAUCAAUUAUCAUCGUAGUUCUCAUAUUUGUAGAUCUAACUCAUUCAUAUAAAUAAGUGUGUGGGACUAGAUAGAGUUUUUAAAGAUACUACAGUAAAUAUCUAUAGAUACAGAUACCUUAAUUCUUUGAACUUCUGAGCAAUAUGCCAAAAAUUACACAAUAAUUUAUGAUAAGAACUUAUUUUAAAAAAUCCAUUUGCUGACAAAUUAAUGGGGCUUUCUUUCAUUUUCAUUGCAAGCAAAGAACAGGAAACCACUGAUUUGCAAAAAUAUUUGUUAUUCAAUCAUUAGUCAUUCAUUUACUUCUGCAAUUUCUGGCAUGUUUUCCUGAAAGGCCUUCCAAGAUUUAUCAAGUGAUUAUUAUUUUUUUUAAGAUUUUUAUUUUUUAUUAUAGUUGAUUUACAAUGUUCUGUCAAUUUCUGCUGUACAGCAAAGUGACCCCAUUAUAGACAUGUAUACAUUCUUUUUCUCACACUAUCAUGUUCCAUCGCAAGUGACUAGAUAUAGUUCCCUGUGCUACAUAGCUGGAUCUCACAGCUUAUCCACUCCAAAUGUGAUAGUUCGCAUCUAUUAACCCCAGAUUCCCAGUCCAUCCCACUCCCUCCCCCUCCACUUUGGCAACUACAAGUCUCUCCUCCAUGUGCAUGAUUUUCUUUUUUGUGGAAUGGUUCAUUUGUGCCAUAUAUUAGAUUCCAGAUAUAAGUGAUAUCAUAUGUAUUUGUCUUUUUCUUUCUGACUGACUUCACUUAGUAUGAGUCUCUAGUCCCAUCCAUGUUGCUGCAAAUGGCAUUAUUUGUUCUUUUUCAUGGCUGAAUCCUGAUAUCUUUCUAUUUUUUUGUUUGUUUUCAAGAAGAACAAAGAAUAAUCUUGUAUUGCCUGAAAUACUCAGAAAGUGUUGGGAAAUUUAAAAAAUUUAUUAAUCGUGAUAUCCUUCUGAUAAUAAAUAUCAAAAAAUAAGUGCCUUUAUCUUAUGACUUCUCAAAUAUAUUUGCAUGAAAACCUUGUAGCUGUAGACCAAACUCAUGUAAUUUAGGAAACAUAACCAUCAUUUAACUGAAUUGGCCAAGCUGGUCCUUGUUUUCAAACUAAUUGGCCCUAUCAGACUUAUACGCUAAGCAUAAAAGUCUGACUUAAUUUUUCAGUCCUAACAAAUGUAGCGACACAAGGCCAGUGUCAGCGCCUCCCUCUGAGUUCUAGGAUGGAGGGAUGUUGGCAGGAAUAGUGCUAUAGUUGACAGCAGGGAUGGGCCGAAGUGGUUCAGCCUCUGUUCUCAUGGAACCAACGUCUGCAGUGAGACAUUGUUUGCCAACCAGUAGGAACAGGGAAAGGUCAGGUCUCAAGCUGAUCUAUUUCAGGUACAAGUACAAAUGCAUAUUUUUGCCUUGAGGACCUGAAGUGGAUUCCAGUACAGCCAGUGGUUUGUAGACUUGAGAGUGCCUCUGGUUCACUGGAGUGUCUGUGAAAACACAGAUCAUUGGGAUGCAGCCCACAGUUGAUGACUCAGCAGGUUUGGGGUGAGACCUGAGAAUGUGCAUUGCACAGAGGUUUCCAGGUCAGGCUGAUGCUGCCAAUCUGGGGCCACAGUAUGAGGCCCCUGCUUAAAGCUUUCCUUGCAAUCGUGCCACUUGGAAAAUCUCCCAGAAUGAAGGAUGCCUUCACCUUUUCCAUGUCCUGCAGGGGUUGAUCCAAGUUUUAUAGGGAUUCCUUUAAGAAAAAUCAUCUAAAGUUAUGAAAGUGAAUCUAAAAGUGAAGGUGAUUUAGGAUGAGAAGAGAAAUUGCUGUAAAGCACAAUGAUUAAAAAGCUAACAAAACCACAAUAACACAAAAUCCAUUAAAAUUACAGUGUUUUAAUUAAAACUACCUGAUUCACCUCUUUUGUUCCUGUACUUAUUUUGGCUACAUACCCUUUGACUACUCUCUGUAUGUUUAUAUCUCUAUAUACACAUUUCAUGGCUCACAUUUUUAUACUCUUUUCCUAAUGAUUACAGAGCCUCAGCUUCCUGGCAGCUAGAGCAAAGAGGGAAAUGAGUUGGGUUCUUGGCAUCUUGUUCAAGCCAAGCCAAGCCUAAUUCUUCAUUAGAAGACAAGUGUUUCUGAGGCAGAAAAGUUUACAUGGAUUUAUGUAAGGGAUAUGACAUUAUAUCCUGAUUGGAUUUUUUGAAACCAACUAAGACAGCAACGGCCAGCAUUUAGUGCUUACAUUUUAAGCCUGAUACAUAGCAAGUUUUCCCAUGCAUUAUCUAUUUUAACACUUAGACUAACCCAAUGAGAGAGGUUCAGUCAUUACUCCCAUUCUUCACAUGAGAAAGAGCCUCAAAGAAGUGAAGCUUCAGCCCAAAGGCACCCAGCCAGUAGGUGGCUUCAUCACCUAGAUCUUAAACACUAGCUCUAUUGUACCAGUCAGCUUUCUGGUUCCAUGGAAAUGGAGGCACAAUUGCACUAUGAUGUUUUACAUAAGGGACUUGAGCAUCUGCCCGUUUUGGUGUCCACAGGCGUUCUAAACCCAACCACUUGCAGAUACUGAGGGACAGCUGUAUAUCCAUGGGCAGUUUCUUGAAGUGGCUUUCUGUAAGUUAGACUAAUAUGAACAAUGGUUUAUAAUCUUUUAAACAAGCAUAUAAAAUCUUCAAAAAAAAUACACAGUGAUUGAAUUUAUAAAACAGAUUACCCCACAAGCAAGUAACCCAGAACUCAUAGCUCUGGUGAAGUAGGGGUGGGAAUGGGGACCCUAUCUACUUGGCACAUCCUCCCUAGGCACAUCCAUCCUAACUUCCUACCUCCCCCAUCCAGCCAGUUUUACAAGGCCUGGGGUCCCUUGGAAACCACUGAGACAGCUGCUUCCUCUGCCUUUUUCAGUAAUGGGUGGUUUUAACAAUGGGCCAUUUGUAGUUCCAAAGCAACCCAAACCAAAUGUCUUUCUUAGAAAUACAAACAAGGGUGGAGAGCUAUCAAGAAAACCCAUGGAAUGAUUAUCAUAAAAGUAAGCACAGGGAUCACCCCUGGAGAGAACAUGCUUAGAGAGGGAGAGGCACCCCAGGGCCAGCAGUGUUAUUCUUAGCCUGGACCCAUUCUUAAUUGCAUUCUUUAUUUGGUCCACAUAUUUUUUAGAUGUUUAUCAAGUUUCAUGAUAGAUGAAUUUCAUUGUAUGUGAAAUCAACUUCCCAAAUCAGGAAAUACAAGUCACAAUUUAGUUUGCUCCAGUACAGCAUAAAAAAUUAGCAAAAUGGAGUUCCCAGUAUGGCUCAGCAUGUUAAAGACCCAAUGUUGUCUCUGUGAGGAUGUGGGUUCCAUCUCUGGCCUCUCUCUGUGGGUUAAGGAUCCAGUGUUUCCACAAGCAUAGGUUAGAGAGGCCGCUCAGAGCUAGUGUGGCUGUGGCUGUGACAUAGGUCACAGCUGCGGCUAUAAUUUCACCCCUGACCUGGGAACUUCCAUAUGCACAGGUGCAGCU